rnacentral:snRNA from 1 species
GUGCUCACUUCAGCAGCACAUCUACUAAAACUGGAAUAAUACAGAGAAGAUUAGCAUGGGCCCUGGGCAAAGAUGAUACACAAAUUCAUGAAGCAUUCCAUAUUUCU